rnacentral:rRNA from 1 species
UCGAGAAUAUUCCGCAAUGGACGAAAGUCUGACGGAGCGACGCCGCGUGAUUGAUGAAGUCCUUCGGGACGUAAAGAUCUUUUAUGAGGGAGGAAGUUUAUUGACGUUACCUCAUGAAUAAGGGGCUUCAAAUCUCGUGCCAGCAGAAGCGGUAAUACGAGAGCCCCAAGCGUUAUCCGGAAUUAUUGGGCGUAAAGGGUGUGUAGGCGGCAUUGUUAGUCUUUUGUUAAAUUCUUCGGCUUAACCGGGGGUCUGCGAGAGAUACGGCAAUGCUAGAGGAUGCGAGAGGUACAUGGAACUCAUAGUGUAGGGGUGAAAUCCGUUGAUAUUAUGGGGAACACCGAAUGCGAAGGCAAUGUACUGGCGCACUCCUGACGCUGAAACACGAAAGCGUGGGUAG